CCUACGGGGGGCAGCAGUGGGGAAUAUUGGACAAUGGGCGAAAGCCUGAUCCAGCCAUGCCGCGUGUGUGAAGAAGGCCUUCGGGUUGUAAAGCACUUUCAGUGGGGAAGAAAGCCUUGGGGCUAAUACCCUCGAGGAAGGACAUCACCCACAGAAGAAGCACCGGCUAACUCCGUGCCAGCAGCCGCGGUAAUACGGAGGGUGCGAGCGUUAAUCGGAAUUACUGGGCGUAAAGCGCGCGUAGGCGGUCUGAUAAGCCGGUUGUGAAAGCCCCGGGCUCAACCUGGGAACGGCAUCCGGAACUGUCAGGCUAGAGUGCAGGAGAGGAAGGUAGAAUUCCCGGUGUAGCGGAGAAAUGCGUAGAGAUCGGGAGGAAUACCAGUGGCGAAGGCGGCCUUCUGGACUGACACUGACGCUGAGGUGCGAAAGCGUGGGUAGCAAACAGGAUUAGAUACCCUGGUAGUC
rnacentral:rRNA from 1 species